rnacentral:rRNA from 1 species
ACGCACGCUGGCGGCGUGCUUCACACCUGCCAGUCGAACGGAAAGGCCCUGCUUUUGUGGGGUGCUCGAGUGGCGAACGGGUGAGUAACACGUGAGUAACCUGCCCUUGACUUUGGGAUAACUUCAGGAAACUGGGGCUAAUACCGGAUAGGAGCUCCUGCUGCAUGGUGGGGGUUGGAAAGUUUCGGCGGUUGGGGAUGGACUCGCGGCUUAUCAGCUUGUUGGUGGGGUAGUGGCUUACCAAGGCUUUGACGGGUAGCCGGCCUGAGAGGGUGACCGGCCACAUUGGGACUGAGAUACGGCCCAGACUCCUACGGGAGGCAGCAGUGGGGAGUAUUGCACAAUGGGCGGAAGCCUGAUGCAGCAACGCCGCGUGCGGGAUGACGGCCUUCGGGUUGUAAACCGCUUUCGCCUGUGACGAAGCGUGAGUGACGGUAAUGGGUAAAGAAGCACCGGCUAACUACGUG